CAGGAUGAACGCUGGCGGCGUGCUUAACACAUGCAAGUCGAGCGRAGYWRUUUYAAGGAAGUUUUCGGAUGGAAUUGAAAUNGACUKAGCGGCGGACGGGUGAGUAACGCGUGGGUAACCUGCCUCAUACAGGGGGAUAACAGUYGGAAACGACUGCUAAUACCGCAUAAGCGCACAGUGCUGCAURGCACRGUGUGAAAAACUCCGGUGGUAUGAGAUGGACCCGCGUCUGAUUAGGUAGUUGGUGGGGUAACGGCCCACCAAGCCGACGAUCAGUAGCCGACCUGAGAGGGUGACCGGCCACAUUGGGACUGAGACACGGCCCAAAC
rnacentral:rRNA from 1 species